rfam:Chelonia mydas contig240013, whole genome shotgun sequence.
AUACUUACCUGGCAGGGGAGAUACCAUGAUCACGAAGGUGGUUUUCCCAGGGUGAGGCUCAUCCAUUGCACUGCGGGUGUGCUGACCCCUGCGAUUUCCCCCAAUUUGGGAAACUCGACUUGAUUCCAUAUGCUGGCCUGGGAACAAAAGCUCUUGCACUCCCUCU